rnacentral:rRNA from 1 species
AGAGUUUGAUCCUGGCUCAGGAUGAACGCUAGCGGGAGGCUUAACACAUGCAAGUCGAGGGGUAAGGAGAUAGCAAUAUUUCCCUAGACCGGCGCACGGGUGAGUAACGCGUAUGCAACCUGCCCUUUACAGGGGGAUAGCCCGGAGAAAUCCGGAUUAAUACCCCAUAGAUCUGCAGAUCCGCAUGGAUUAACAGAUAAAGCUGAGGCGGUAAAGGAUGGGCAUGCGUGACAUUAGCUAGUUGGCGGGGUAACGGCCCACCAAGGCUACGAUGUCUAGGGGUUCUGAGAGGAAGGUCCCCCACACUGGUACUGAGACACGGACCAGACUCCUACGGGAGGCAGCAGUGAGGAAUAUUGGUCAAUGGGCGCGAGCCUGAACCAGCCAUCCCGCGUGCAGGAAGAAGGCCCUAUGGGUUGUAAACUGCUUUUGUGCAGGAAUAAAUGUACCCU